CAAGGGAUCACCGCUAAUAAACAAAGUAAAAUGUGUGAACUGUGGCAAACCUCAAAACUCACAUUUAUAGAAUACCAACAUAAAAAAGUGACAGUGGAACCACGGUUCCGGAGAAUUUGACGUAAAUACGUCUAUACGGUGCAAGGAAAUGCAAGUCAUCUGAGGAAGACAUAGCAGAAUAAUUCAAAUAUUCAGAAACGUCUGCAGGAAAUUCCAGGACAUGCUAGAGAAAAAGCAACAUGAGAUAAGCAGAUGGCAACAUUGUACAAAAGCAUAUCUGGAAAGAAGUCUAACCUCCCAUCUCAUAACAAAAGUAUCUGCUUUAUAUAAAGCUGUCAAAAUAUUUGGUAACACUGGAAUUGUGUACUACUAUUUUAAUCAAAACUCGACUCAUUUAUUAAUACACAAAAUAUACUUGUAACACUGUUCUAUUAAUUUUCAAGGGAAUACAGACAUAUUUUGACAAUGACCUCACUUUCUUUUAAAGAGGCACACAAAACCAAGUCAGUUGUCUGUGCAGUACUUACAGACAUAUCUUGGUGUAUCUAACAAAUGGCAAAAUAAAGUUAUUUCUAUAAA